UACAGAGGUCUCAAGCGUUGUUCGGAAUCACUGGGCUUAAAGGGCGCGUAGGCGGGCUGCCAAGUCCGGGGUGAAAUCUUUCGGCUCAACCGGAAAAUAGCCUCGGAGACUGGCGGUCUGGAGGGGGUAGGGGCAGCUGGAACUUCCGGUGGAGCGGUGAAAUGCGUUGAUAUCGGAAGGAACGCCGGUGGCGAAAGCGAGCUGCUGGACCUUUCUGACGCUGAGGCGCGAAAGCCAGGGGAGCAAACGGG
rnacentral:rRNA from 1 species